UCUGGCUCUGUAACUUGGCUUCUUACUGGACCAGUGCUUAGACACCACAGUCGAUUAAAAGAAUGGAUUCUGAAUCUGCUGACUCAUCAUCUCAACCUGCUUGCUUAAGCUUCUUCUAUCGCACCUCCUUACAAAGUGUCUAAUAGUGAUUCCCUUGCCAAAGCUUCCAAUUCUGAGACUUCUGCAAACACUGCCACAAGGCAUGAUGGUACAUUAGGUGAAUCACCGGCUUCAGGCAUA
rnacentral:misc_RNA from 1 species